CGGGAAGUGUGAGCUGAGCGUUGACUGCCUA
rnacentral:piRNA from 1 species